GUCGAGUGAUCCUGCGCCGAAAAUUUCCGGGGCUAAAACGUACUACCGAAGCUACGGCAUCAUUUAUGAUGGGUAGGAGAGCUUCCCAUACGGGUUGAAGCAUGACCGAAAGGACAUGUGGACUGUAUGGAAGUGAGAAUGUUGGCAUGAGUAGCGAGAUGUGGGUGAGAAUCCCACAGGCCGUAAACCCAAGGUUUCCAGGGGAAGGUUCGUCCGCCCUGGGUUAGUCAGGACCUAAGCCGAGGCCGAAAGGCGUAGGUGAUGGACAACAGGUUGAUAUUCCUGUACCACCAAUAACCGUUUGAGAAAUGGGAUGACACAGUAGGAUAAGCUAACCGCACUGUUGGUUAUGUGCGGGCAAGUAUUGAGGCAGUUCCGAUAGGCAAAUCCGUCGGAAUAAUGCUGGGGUACGAUGCGGAGCGAAAUUUAGUAGCGAAGUAGCUGAUUUCACACUGUCGAGAAAAGUCUCUAUCGAGGUUAAAGGUGCCUGUACCGCAAACCGACACAGGUGGGUGAGGAGAGUAUCCUAAGGCCAGCGAGAGAACUGUUGUUAAGGAACUCGGCAAAAUGACCCCGUAACUUAGGGAGAAGGGGUGCCUUCGAAAGAAGGCCGCAGAGAAUAGGCCCAAGCGACUGUUUACCAAAAACAUAGGUUUCUGCUAAGUCGCAAGACGAUGUAUAGGAGCUGACGCCUGCCCGGUGCUGGAAGGUUAAGGGGAUCUGUUAGAGCAAUCGAAGCAGUGAACUUAAGCCCCAGUAAACGGCGGCCGUAACUAUAACGGUCCUAAGGUAGCGAAAUUCCUUGUCGGGUAAGUUCCGACCCGCACGAAAGGCGUAACGAUUUGGGCACUGUCUCAACAACAGACUCGGUGAAAUUGUAAUACCGGUGAAGAUGCCGGUUACCUGCGACAGGACGGAAAGACCCCAUGGAGCUUUACUGUAGCUUGACAUUGAGUCUCGGUGCUACAUGUACAGGAUAGGUGGGAGACUAUGAAGCAUGGACGUCAGUCUGUGUGGAGUCAUCCUUGGGAUACCACCCUUGUAGUACUGGGAUUCUAACCAGAGGCCAUGAAUCUGGUCUUGGGACACUGUCAGGUGGACAGUUUGACUGGGGCGGUCGCCUCCCAAAAAGUAACGGAGGCGCUCAAAGGUUCUCUCAGUACGGUCGGAAAUCGUACGAAGAGUGUAAAGGCAAAAGAGAGCUUGAUUGCAAGACAUACAGGUCGAGCAAGGACGAAAGUCGGACUUAGUGAUCCGGUGGUUCCGCAUGGAAGGGCCAUCGCUCAACGGAUAAAAGCUACCCUGGGGAUAACAGGCUGAUCUCCCCCAAGAGUCCACAUCGACGGGGAGGUUUGG
rnacentral:rRNA from 1 species